rnacentral:rRNA from 1 species
GACGAACGCUGGCGGCGUGCCUAAUACAUGCAAGUCGAACGCUUCUUUUUCCACCGGAGCUUGCUCCACCGGAAAAAGAGGAGUGGCGAACGGGUGAGUAACACGUGGGUAACCUGCCCAUCAGAAGGGGAUAACACUUGGAAACAGGUGCUAAUACCGUAUAACAAUCGAAACCGCAUGGUUUUGAUUUGAAAGGCGCUUUCGGGUGUCGCUGAUGGAUGGACCCGCGGUGCAUUAGCUAGUUGGUGAGGUAACGGCUCACCAAGGCCACGAUGCAUAGCCGACCUGAGAGGGUGAUCGGCCACAUUGGGACUGAGACACGGCCCAAACUCCUACGGGAGGCAGCAGUAGGGAAUCUUCGGCAAUGGACGAAAGUCUGACCGAGCAACGCCGCGUGAGUGAAGAAGGUUUUCGGAUCGUAAAACUCUGUUGUUAGAGAAGAACAAGGAUGAGAGUAACUGUUCAUCCCUUGACGGUAUCUAACCAGAAAGCCACGGCUAACUACGUGCCAGCAGCCGCGGUAAUACGUAGGUGGCAAGCGUUGUCCGGAUUUAUUGGGCGUAAAGCGAGCGCAGGCGGUUUCUUAAGUCUGAUGUGAAAGCCCCCGGCUCAACCGGGGAGGGUCAUUGGAAACUGGGAGACUUGAGUGCAGAAGAGGAGAGUGGAAUUCCAUGUGUAGCGGUGAAAUGCGUAGAUAUAUGGAGGAACACCAGUGGCGAAGGCGGCUCUCUGGUCUGUGACUGACGCUGAGGCUCGAAAGCGUGGGGAGCAAACAGGAUUAGAUACCCUGGUAGUCCACGCCGUAAACGAUGAGUGCUAAGUGUUGGAGGGUUUCCGCCCUUCAGUGCUGCAGCUAACGCAUUAAGCACUCCGCCUGGGGAGUACGACCGCAAGGUUGAAACUCAAAGGAAUUGACGGGGGCCCGCACAAGCGGUGGAGCAUGUGGUUUAAUUCGAAGCAACGCGAAGAACCUUACCAGGUCUUGACAUCCUUUGACCACUCUAGAGAUAGAGCUUCCCCUUCGGGGGCAAAGUGACAGGUGGUGCAUGGUUGUCGUCAGCUCGUGUCGUGAGAUGUUGGGUUAAGUCCCGCAACGAGCGCAACCCUUAUUGUUAGUUGCCAUCAUUCAGUUGGGCACUCUAGCAAGACUGCCGGUGACAAACCGGAGGAAGGUGGGGAUGACGUCAAAUCAUCAUGCCCCUUAUGACCUGGGCUACACACGUGCUACAAUGGGAAGUACAACGAGUCGCGAAGUCGCGAGGCUAAGCUAAUCUCUUAAAGCUUCUCUCAGUUCGGAUUGCAGGCUGCAACUCGCCUGCAUGAAGCCGGAAUCGCUAGUAAUCGCGGAUCAGCACGCCGCGGUGAAUACGUUCCCGGGCCUUGUACACACCGCCCGUCACACCACGAGAGUUUGUAACACCCGAAGUCGGUGAGGUAACCUUUUGGAGCCAGCCGCCUAAGGUGGGAUAGAUGAUUGGGGUG